rnacentral:tRNA from 1 species
GAAAUAUGUUGUUCAAGUGAAUGCUGCUAACUUAUCACUUAAGUGGUUAAAUUCCAUUUAUAUUUCU